GGUCAAGCUACAAAGGGCUUACGGUGGAUACCUAGGCACAGGAAGGCGAUGAAGGACGUGGUUACCGACGAUACACUUUGGGGAGCUGGAAACAAGCCUUGAGCCAAAGAUUUCCGAAUGGGGCAACCCUAUAUACUGCCCGUUGAAUACAUAGACGGGAAAGAGCAAACCCAGCGAAUUGAAACAUCUUAGUAGCUGGAGGAAGAGAAAAUAAAUAAUGAUUUCCCUAGUAGCGGCGAGCGAACGGGAAAGAGCCCAAACCAGUUGGCAUGACUAACUGGGGUUAUAGGACAGCAACAUGUAUCAACAAAGUUAGACGAAUUGUUUGAAAGACAAGUCAUAGAGAGUGAAAACCUCGUAGUCAAAAACUAAGUUGAGCUAGCUGUAUCCUGAGUAGCACGGUACACGAGAAAUUCCGUGUGAAUUUGCCGGGACCACCCGGUAAGGCUAAAUACUCAUCUGUGACCGAUAGUGAACCAGUACCGCGAGGGAAAGGUGAAAAGAACCCCGAGAGGGGAGUGAAAUAGAACAUGAAACCGUAAGCUUACAAGCAAUGGGAGGACGAUUUAACGUCUGACCGUGUGCCUGUUGAAGAAUGAGCCGGCGACUUAUAGGCAGUGGCAGGUUAAGGCGGGAAUGCUGGAGCCAAAGCGAAAGCGAGUGUGAAAAGCGCGAUAGUCACUGUUUAUAGACCCGAACCUGGGUGAUCUAACCAUGGGCAGGAUGAAGCUUGGGUAACACCAAGUGGAGGUCCGAACCGACUGAUGUUGAAAAAUCAGCGGAUGACCUGUGGUUAGGGGUGAAAUGCCAAUCGAACCCAGAGCUAGCUGGUUCUCCCCGAAAUAUGUUGAGGCAUAGCGGUUGUGAUUAUAGUCUGGGGGUAAAGCACUGACUCGGUGCGGGCGGAGAGAUCUGUACCAAAUCGAAUCAAACUCUGAAUACCAGAUGCACACACAACCAGUCAGACUGUGGGGGAUAAGCUCCAUGGUCAAGAGGGAAACAGCCCAGAUCACCAGCUAAGGUCCCCAAGACAUCGCUAAGUGGAUAAGGAGGUAGGAAUACAGAGACAACCAGGAGGUUUGCUUAGAAGCAGCCACCCUUAAAAGAGUGCGUAAUAGCUCACUGGUCAAGUGUUCCCGCGCCGAAAAUGAACGGGACUAAGCGAUGCACCGAAGCUGUGAGAUUAAUUUAUUAAUCGGUAGGGGAGCGUUCUGUAAUAGUGAGAAGCAUUAGCGUAAGCAGAUGUGGACGAAACAGAAGUGAGAAUGUCGGCUUGAGUAGCGCAAACAUUGGUAAGAAUCCAAUGCCCCGAAAACCCAAGGCUUUCUACGCAAGGCUCGUCCACGUAGAGUUAGUCGGGACCUAAGGCGAGGCUGAAAAGCGUAGUCGAUGGAUACAGGGUUAAUAUUCCCUGACUGAUAUGUUGGAGCAAACUAGGGACGCAUGAUGAUAAGCCAUACCCUUAAUGGAUUGGGAAGAGUUUACGAACUCUACAUGGUGAAGAUAGUGCCAAGAAAAGCUAGGUAGCGAUGAAAACAUACACCCGUACCCCAAACCGACACAGGUGGGUAGGUAGAGAAUACUAAGGGGCGCGAGAUAACUCUCUCUAAGGAACUCGGCAAAAUUACCCCGUAACUUCGGGAGAAGGGGUGCCCACCUAAGACGUGGGUCGCAGUGAAAUGAUCCAAGCGACUGUUUACCAAAAACACAGGUCUCUGCUAAGUCGUAAGACGAUGUAUAGGGGCUGACGCCUGCCCAGUGCCGGAAGGUUAAGGAAGUCGGUCAGCGCAAGUGAAGCUGGCGACCGAAGCCCCGGUGAACGGCGGCCGUAACUAUAACGGUCCUAAGGUAGCGAAAUUCCUUGUCGGGUAAGUUCCGACCCGCACGAAAGGCGUAACGAUUUGGAUGCUGUCUCGGAGAGAGACUCGGCGAAAUAGGAUUGUCUGUGAAGAUACGGACUACUUGCACCCGGACAGAAAGACCCUAUGAAGCUUUACUAUAACUUGGAAUUGGGUUCGGGCUUCUCUUGCGCAGGAUAGGUGGGAGACUAUGAUGAUGUCCUUGUGGGGAUAUCGGAGUCAACAGUGAGAUACCACUCUGGAGAGGCUAGGAUUCUAACCUUUACCCAUGAAUCUGGGAGAGGAACAGUUUCAGGCGGGUAGUUUGACUGGGGCGGUCGCCUCCUAAAUUGUAACGGAGGCGCGCAAAGGUUCCCUCAGGCUGGUCGGAAAUCAGCCGCAGAGUGCAAAAGCAUAAGGGAGCUUGACUGCAAGACCAACAAGUCGAGCAGGGACGAAAGUCGGCUUUAGUGAUCCGACGGCACAGCGUGGAAUGGCCGUCGCUCAUCGGAUAAAAGUUACUCUAGGGAUAACAGGCUGAUCUCCCCCAAGAGUUCACAUCGACGGGGAGGUUUGGCACCUCGAUGUCGGCUCAUCGCAACCUGGUGCGGAAGUACGUGCCAAGGGUUGGGCUGUUCGCCCAUUAAAGCGGUACGUGAGCUGGGUUCAGAACGUCGUGAGACAGUUCGGUCCAUAUCCGGUGCAAGCGCAAGAGUAUUGAGAGGACUCCUCCUUAGUACGAGAGGACCGGGAGGAACGCACCGCUGGUGUACCAGUUAUCGUGCCAACGGUAAACGCUGGGUAGCCAUGUGCGGAGUGGAUAACCGCUGAAAGCAUCUAAGUGGGAAGCCCACCUCAAGAUGAGUACUCUCAUGACAUAAGUCAGUAAGGUCACGGGCAGAAUACCCGUUAAUAGGCUUUAGGUAGAAGUACAGUAAUGUAUGUAGCCAAGAAGUACUAAUAGACCGAGGGCUUGUCCUC
rfam:Synechococcus sp. PCC 7502, complete genome.